rnacentral:rRNA from 1 species
CAAGUCGCGUGCGCAGUUGCCGUAGCAAUACGGUGAUGGGCGCACGGCGCACGGGUGCGUAACACGUGGGCAAUCUGCCCUUUGAUGGGGAAUAACCCGCCGAAAGGCGGGCUAAUUCCGCAUAAGAUUCCCGAGACUUAGGUUUUGGGAUUGAAAGCAGCAAUGCGUCGAAGGAGGAGCCCGCGCCCGAUUAGCUAGUUGGUGAGGUAACGGCUCACCAAGGCAAUGAUCGGUAGCUGGUCUGAGAGGAUGAUCAGCCACACUGGAACUGAGACACGGUCCAGACUCCUACGGGAGGCAGCAGUGGGGAAUCUUGCACAAUGGGCGAAAGCCUGAUGCAGCGACGCCGCGUGGGGGAUGAAGCAUUUCGGUGUGUAAACCCCUUUCGACUGGGAAGAAUACCUCGCAAGAGGGGUGACGGUACCAGUAGAAGAAGCCCCGGCUAACUACGUGCCAGCAGCCGCGGUAAGACGUAGGGGGCCAGCGUUGUUCGGAAUUACUGGGUGUAAAGGGUUCGUAGGCGGUGCGGCAAGUUGGGAGUGAAAUCUCUGGGCUUAACCCAGAGGCUGCUUCCAAAACUGCUGUGCUCGAGUGUGAGAGAGGCUCGUGGAAUUGCAGGUGUAGCGGUGAAAUGCGUAGAUAUCUGCAGGAACACCCGUGGCGAAAGCGGCGAGCUGGAUCACUACUGACGCUGAGGAACGAAAGCUAGGGGAGCAAACAGGAUUAGAUACCCUGGUAGUCCUAGCCCUAAACGAUCAGGACUUGGGGUGCCGCCCGUUCGGGCGUCGUCCCGGGAGCUAACGCGUUAAGUCCUGCACCUGGGGAGUACGGUCGCAAGACUGAAAACUC